ACUUCAUAUAGGGAGGGCAGUGUUAAAGGGCUCAUGUCAGAGUUACAGCCUAACUUCUCAAAGGCCAGUCUGUCUGGGAGACUCCAGCUAUUUCUGAAUAUCCCUGGAAGUAAUUAAGUGACACCAGGAAAAUCCAAGGAGCUAGAGCAGUCUAUUGGGGCCAUCCAGGCGUGGUCUUCUAAUCUGGGCUUGGAUACAUCACCUAGAAACAAUGCAUAAUUCCUAUCUACCCUGCUCUUCUGUGGAUGUAGGUUUCUGUGCACACCUUAUUACAAGCAAUUCAUAAACGCAGAUCCAUAAACGCUGUUCCUCGGCUGUAGUCAGGAAGCACUGAACUGGUUGGUUGGCUGAAAAACCCCUCUCUUCCCUUCUGAAACUUUCCACUGGACCCUGUCUUUUGCUGCAGUGACACCUACUGAUGAGGACAGAGGCUUCCACUCUCUGGAUCAGCAGAGUGACUGUCCAGCACAAACCUCCCUUUGGUAAUAGGGCUGAGUACGAGGGAGGUGUCCCCAAAGAAGUUACCAGCUAAACUGCUUUAGUGGUCUCCAGUCCCUAAAACUCAUCUCAUCCCUGUGCCACAGACUCCUCUGCUGCCCCCCACACUGAGUCUGCUCUCUAGGUGACCUUGUCCAACUGAAGGGCAGAGCCAUCUAGCAGGGAACUAGCAGCCAGUGAACAAGGACCUCU
rnacentral:lncRNA from 1 species